AAACAGCAAAACAAAACAAAGUACUUUGAAGUAAUAAUCAUGUAGGAAGAAAAGAUUGUUUUAAACUGACUAUUGGGCUUAGAUAGAUAUUUAUGAACUGGCAGGUAGGUAUCUAUCACUGGGAAAUUGUCGAGACAAAAAGAUGGAUUCCAGAAAGUAAGUCUUGGCGUUUCCUCUUCUGUCCUUUGAUUCACUGAGUAUUCUCAGUGUUUCCAUCUCAAACUUUGCUCGAGUUGAAGGAAGGCUGCUGGGAUUGGGUUUUUCCCCUGCAUCAAAUGGUCAUUAGUUUUUCCAUUUACUCUUCAGCCCACAGUGAUCUAGGUUCUGAUCCUUACAUUUCUGAGCACACCGUAUCUUCUAGAUUAACAAUAAAAGUUCUUCAGACAUGUUAGUCUGCAAGGUGGGUCUGAUGACCCCCAUUUUACACCAGUAAUCAAGACUCGGAAAGGUUCAGUUCUUUUGUCCAGGUAUUUGAUGAAUGGGGGAAUUGGCGUUCAACUCUAAUUUAGCAUCUCCAGACAGAAGUUCUGCGUGUGCUGUCCUUCUGUGGAGAAGGAGGGGAGACAGAUGUAGGUGAGAAAAAAAGGAGGGGUGACAGAGCGAAGGGAUUAAGGGGAUGAAAGCCUUUCCCAGUGAAUGCAUUUACCUUAAAAACUUGGAGGAAAGGGUGACGGAAGGAAAACCAAACAAGCAGAGGUGACAAGAGGGGUCCAGGGAGGAAGAGUUUGCCCUGUGGCUUAAUGGAGGAUGCCUUCCUGCUGCCUCCCUUGCAUGCACCUAAGAUUUUAGGAUACAGAUGUUUGGGAGAUGUGAGUCUUAGAGCCACUAAAAGGACCCCGACGGCUGAGAGAUGAGGAGAACCAUCAGGCCUAAACUAACUCCUUCUGAGAGUCAAGGUGCGUGUGGCUCACUUGCUCAGUUUCCUUCACUUAGUGUCUCUGAGCUCCUUUUCUGUGAUGGGCUCUGAGCUAGGUGCUGAUUAGAGAUGAGCAAAACCAUCCCCUGUUUACAGUAAACAUAAAGCCUGCUAGAAAAUACACUGCAGCCUUCAACAUCUGGAGAUUUAACGUAUUUGAAACCG
rnacentral:lncRNA from 1 species